UACGGAGGGGACUAGCGUUGUUCGGAAUUACUGGGCGUAAAGCGCACGUAGGCGGAUUUGUUAGUCAGGGGUGAAAUCCCGAGGCUCAACCUCGGAACUGCCUUUGAUACUGCAAAUCUCGAGUCCAGAAGAGGUGAGUGGAAUUCCUAGUGUAGAGGUGAAAUUCGUAGAUAUUAGGAAGAACACCAGUGGCGAAGGCGGCUCACUGGUCCGGUACUGACGCUGAGGUGCGAAAGCGUGGGGAGCAAACAGG
rnacentral:rRNA from 1 species